rnacentral:lncRNA from 11 species
GUUUGCAGUGUGUUAUCUGAUUGCUGUCCACAACUUCUGUAUCCACACCUGGACCAUGGAACCUUGAAAUUUGGACUACGGCACUUGACUUGUAGACACAACCCUGUUGCUUGGCAUUCUGAGGAGUAUUAAAAUGCGACUUCUGGCCGUAUCUUCAAAACGGAAACAAUGUCUUGCUGGAGAACACCCAAC